GACGGUAACAACCCCAUGGGUGGGUAUAGCCGCGGGAAACUGCGGGUAAUCCCCAGCGAAGCAAAGCGACCGGCAUCGGUCGUUUGCCAAAGCUCCGGCGCCGUGGGACGGGCCGUCGUGGUAUUAGGUAGUUGGGGGGGUAACGGCCCACCAAGCCUACGAUGCCUACCGGGCGUGCGAGCGUGGCCCGGCACACUGGGACUGAGACACUGCCCAGACUCCUACGGGAGGCUGCAGUCGAGAAUCUUCGGCAAUGGGCGCAAGCCUGACCGAGCGACGCCGCGUGGAGGACGAAGGCCUUCGGGUUGUAAACUCCUGUCGAGGGGAAAGAAGGCCCGCAAGGGCUUGACUGAUCCCUGGAGGAAGCACGGGCUAAGUUCGUGCCAGCAGCCGCGGUAAGACGAACCGUGCGAACGUUAUUCGGAAUCACUGGGCUUAAAGCGCGUGUAGGCGGGAGGGCACGUCCGUCGCUGAAAUCCCCCGGCUCAACCGGGGAAGUGGCGCGGAUACGACCUUCCUG
rnacentral:rRNA from 1 species